AAGGCAUCUUGUUCACCCCUUUGAGCCUUAUGUUAGAAUCCAUGUUGGUGUUGAGCUCAUUUUUGUAUGGGUUAUAAUAUUUUCCUUGAACCAUGACCAUGAUUUGUGGUUGAAUUUUUACUCUUGCCUUAAAGUUUAGGAGCAUUCACAAUACAUGAUUGGUUGUAUUUAAGUUGGGGAGAAGAAAGGUUGGUUGUUAAGAGGUUGAUAAAAAGAAAAAGAU
rnacentral:lncRNA from 1 species